rnacentral:rRNA from 1 species
CAGGGGGGCAAGCGUUGUUCGGAAUUACUGGGCGUAAAGGGUUUGUAGGUGGCCACUUAAGUCAGACGUGAAAUCCCUCAGCUUAACUGGGGAACUGCGUCUGAUACUGAGUGGCUUGAGUGCAGGAGAGGAACGCGGAAUUCCAGGUGUAGCGGUGAAAUGCGUAGAUAUCUGGAGGAACACCGGUGGCGAAGGCGGCGUUCUGGACUGUAACUGACACUGAAAAACGAAAGCCAGGGGAGCAAACGGGAUUAGAUACCCCGGUAGUCCUGGCCCUAAACGAUGAAUGCUUGGUGUGGCGGGUAUCGAUCCCUGCCGUGCCGUAGUUAACGCGAUAAGCAUUCCGCCUGGGGAGUACGGUCGCAAGGCUG